UCAAUUUGUACACACGGUCUUCUGCUC
rnacentral:piRNA from 1 species